CAGUCGCCACGGUAAUACGGAGGGAGCUAGCGUUGUUCGGAAUUACUGGGCGUAAAGCGCACGUAGGCGGCUUUGUAAGUUAGAGGUGAAAGCCUGGAGCUCAACUCCAGAAUUGCCUUUAAGACUGCAUCGCUUGAAUCCAGGAGAGGUGAGUGGAAUUCCGAGUGUAGAGGUGAAAUUCGUAGAUAUUCGGAAGAACACCAGUGGCGAAGGCGGCUCACUGGACUGGUAUUGACGCUGAGGUGCGAAAGCGUGGGGAGCAAACAGGAUUAGAUACCCCAGUAGUCCCUGUCUCUUAUAC
rnacentral:rRNA from 1 species